AUUGAACGCUGGCGGCAGGCCUAACACAUGAAAGUCGAGCGGAGCUGCGGACGGGUGAGUACUGCCUAGGAAUCUGCCUGGCAGUGGGGGAUAACGACCGGAAACGGGCGCUAAUACCGACUACUAUCAGAUGAGCCUAGGUCGGAUUAGCUAGUUGGUGGGGUAAAGGCCUACCAAGGCGACGAUCCGUAAAUGGUGUGAGGGGCUGAUCAGUCACACUGGAACUGAGCAACGGACCAGACUCCGAAGUGCGGCAGCAGUGGGGAAUAUUGGACAAGGGGCGAAAGCCUGAUCCAGCCAUGCCGCGUGUGUGAAGAAGUUCUUCGGAUUGUAAAGCACUUUAACUUGGGAGGCGUUACCAACAGAAUAAGCACCGGCUAACGUCGUGCCAGCAGCCGCGGUAAUAC
rnacentral:rRNA from 1 species